rnacentral:lncRNA from 1 species
AAAAAAAAAAAAAAAAAAAAAAAAAAAAAAAAGGGGGUAAGUUGUAGGAACCUCUGAUUCCGAUACCUCAGCGAAAGAAAUAACUGUUAAUCCGGUACUUGAUAACCCUCGAGGGGUCUACGAGGUGCGCAUUGAGUCAGCAUGACUAGUCUUGUCGAAAAGAGUAUGCAAUUUACCUAAGCAAAAAGUUUAUCGACAGUGAAACAAUACACUC